UCCUCGUCUCUCUCAAGAGCCCGGCGCAGGCGGCUCCCUGGUCCCUCAACUCUCUGCUGCCUGGACCCCCUUCCCAGACUCCCCAGCUCCCCCACCCCGGCUGCUGACUAGGAGCUCCCAGGAGCAGGCCUCAACCUACCUGUCUCACGGGUGGACACACAGCAGAUCCUGGCUUCAGAGUGAAAAUUCAGCAAGUCCCAAUAAAGCAGGAACUGAUGGCCAGAAGAAGCCAGCCUGCCAUGGCCUGAGUGAGAACAGCAAAGCAUAGAAACUGGAGCGGGUCUGCCAGAGGACUCUGAAGGAGGGGACAGGGCCCUCGAACCUUUACUCAGCCCCUACUUUUCUGCAGAGAGCCCAGAUUCCAGAGGGGCUGAUGUGUGCAAAUUAAACCCAACUGAAAUCCACAAAUCAGGAGGAGCAAACAUGGACCCAGACCCUGCUCAAUUCAAGCCUUGGAUGACUGAUGCUCUGGCUAACACCUUGACUGCAGCCUUGUGAGAGACCUGGAGCCUCCAGCUAAGGCCCCCCGCUGAGCAUCACUUCGAUU